rnacentral:rRNA from 1 species
GACGAACGCUAGCGGCGUGCCUAAUACAUGCAAGUCGAACGCAUUUUCUUUCACCGUAGCUUGCUACACCGAAAGAAAAUGAGUGGCGAACGGGUGAGUAACACGUGGGUAACCUGCCCAUCAGCGGGGGAUAACACUUGGAAACAGGUGCUAAUACCGCAUAAUUCCAUUUACCGCAUGGUAGAUGGGUGAAAGGCGCUUUUGCGUCACUGAUGGAUGGACCCGCGGUGCAUUAGCUAGUUGGUGGGGUAACGGCCUACCAAGGCUGCGAUGCAUAGCCGACCUGAGAGGGUGAUCGGCCACACUGGGACUGAGACACGGCCCAGACUCCUACGGGAGGCAGCAGUAGGGAAUCUUCGGCAAUGGACGCAAGUCUGACCGAGCAACGCCGCGUGAGUGAAGAAGGUUUUCGGAUCGUAAAACUCUGUUGUUAGAGAAGAACAAGGAUGAGAGUGGAAAGUUCAUCCCUUGACGGUAUCUAACCAGAAAGCCACGGCUAACUACGUG